rnacentral:rRNA from 1 species
UACGGGGGGAGCAAGCGUUGUUCGGAUUUACUGGGCGUAAAGGGCUCGUAGGCGGUCCAUCACGUCGGGAGUGAAAAGCUGGGGCUUAACCCCAGUCCUGCUUCCGAUACGGGUGGACUAGAGGUAGGCAGGGGAGAACGGAAUUCCUGGUGUAGCGGUGAAAUGCGCAGAUAUCAGGAGGAACACCGGUGGCGAAGGCGGUUCUCUGGGCCUUACCUGACGCUGAGGCACGGAGGCGUGGGGAGCGAACGGGG